GACGAACGCUGGCGGCGUGCUUAACACAUGCAAGUCGAGCGGAGCGGCGAACGGGUGAGUAACGCGUGAGUAACUGCCCCCCUCUCUGGGAUAACAGUUGGAAACGGCUGCUAAUACCGGAUAGUGGGGGAUGACUCGCGUCCUAUCAGCUUGUUGGUGGGGUAGGGGCCUGCCCAGGCGACGACGGGUAGCCGGCCUGAGAGGGCGAGCGGCCACCUUGAGCUGAGAGACGGCCCAAAGUCCUACGGGAGGAAGAAGUGGGGAAUCUUGCACAAGGGAGGAAACCCUGAUGCAGAAACGCCGCGGGCGGGAUGACGGCCUUCGGGUUGUAAACUGCGUUCAGCCAUGACGCGGUAGUGGCAGAAGAAGCACCGGCUAACUACGUGCCAGCCGCCGCGGUAAUAC
rnacentral:rRNA from 1 species